UAGGGAAUUUUCCACAAUGGGCGAAAGCCUGAUGGAGCAAUACCGCGUGCAGGAUGAAUGCCUUCGGGUUGUAAACUGCUUUUAUGUGCGAAGAAUUUGACGGUAACACAUGAAUAAGGAUCGGCUAACUACGUGCCAGCAGCCGCGGUCAUACGUAGGAUCCAAGCGUUAUCCGGAAUUACUGGGCGUAAAGAGUUGCGUAGGUGGCAUUGUAAGUGGAGCGUGAAAGCGUGCGGCUCAACCGCAUUACUGCGUUCCAAACUGCAAAGCUUGAGUAUGAGAGGGGUAGAUGGAAUUUCUAGUGUAGGAGUGAAAUCCGUAGAUAUUAGAAGGAACACCGAUAGCGUAGGCAGUCUACUGGCUCAUUACUGACACUAAGGCACGAAAGCGUGGGUAGCAAACAGG
rnacentral:rRNA from 1 species